rnacentral:tRNA from 1 species
GCCCAAGUGGUGAAAUGGUAUACACGCUGGCUUCAGGUGCCAGUGCUCGCAAGGGCGUGGAGGUUCAACUCCUCUCUUGGGCA